UGGUUCUGGCAUCGAUGAAGAACGCAGCGAAAUGCGAUAAGUAAUGUGAAUUGCAGAAUUCAGUGAAUCAUCGAAUCUUUGAACGCACAUUGCGCCCGCCAGCAUUCUGGCGGGCAUGCCUGUUCGAGCGUCAUUUCAACCCCUCGGGCCCUAGCGCCCGGCGUCGGGGCCCUCCCGCGAGGGAGGCCCCCAGAGACAGUGGCGGACCCGCCGCGGCUCCGAGCGCAGUAGUAAAAUUCUCGCUCUGGGGUCCCGCGGCGAGCUCCGGCCGUAAAACCGCAGCCGGCGCCCCCCCGGGCACCGGACGCACACACCAAGGUUGACCUCGGAUCAGGUAGGAAUACCCGCUGA
rnacentral:misc_RNA from 1 species